GAGGCGUGGGUGCUACUGGCAUUGAGAGGCCAAAGAUGCUAAACAUCCCAUAAUGCACAGGAUGGCUCCCACCACAAAGAAGGAUCCAGCCCAAACGUCAAGAGUGCUGGGGUUGAGAUACCCUGCUUAACCUUAUCACAAACUGCCAAAUCGUUUUCCAAAGUGGUUUUCUCAUUUUACAAGCCUGCUAGCAGUGAGAAUUCUGGUUUCUCCACAGCCUCUCCUCCAGCCUCAAUACUACUUCUUUACUGGACUCAACUAGCUUCGGUCUCCUCCUCCUCCUGCAUCAUCUCAGAUGAUCUAAUUACUCCAAGCUCACCUCCCACCUGCUUUCCUGGAGCACCUCCUCUGUCCCUGGGGACUGGUUUUCUCCAGGCUUCCAACUUACCUGGCUUUGGCCUCUAUCUCCACCUGUAGAGGUUUUGGCCAUGUCUAAUGAUGAGAGAUGGCCUGGCCUUGAAUCCCUGCCAGCUGUGUGACUUUGGGACUGAGAUUAAUCCUCUCUGGAGCUCCUGUUAACCACCCGACAAUGGAUAUGGACAAUGGAUGUGCUAAUACACGCACCUCAUCUGCUCCAGGUGGUGAUUAGUCUGUUCAUAUAUUUAGAUUUCUUAGAACAAGGCUGAACAACCAGGACAGGGACUGGGGUGAGGAGGGGAAGCACUUGCCUCAGACACAGAAUUUAAGGGGGCACCCCUAAAUUCAAGAUACACGUUUUAGCACAA